CUACGGGUUGCUGCAGUAAAGAAUCUUCCACAAUGGGCGAAAGCCUGAUGGAGCAAUACCGCGUGAACGAUGACGGUCGAAAGAUUGUAAAGUUCUUUUCUGAGGGAAGAAUUCUGACGGUACCUCAGGAAUAAGCACCGGCUAACUCCGUGCCAGCAGCCGCGGUAAUACGGAGGGUGCAAGCGUUACCCGGAAUUAUUGGGCGUAAAGCGUCCGCAGGCUGUUUAUUAAGUUGGAUAUUAAAUCUUGGGGCCCAACUCUAAGGCCGUGUCCAAAACUGGUAAACUAGAGUCUUUCAGGGCAUACGGAAUUCUGUGUGUAGGGGUAAAAUCCGUAGAUACACAGAGGAACACCAAAAGCGAAGGCAGUAUGCUGGGAAAGUACUGACGCUCAUGGACGAAAGCGUAGGUAGCGAACGGGAUUAGAUACCCUUGUAGUC
rnacentral:rRNA from 1 species